rnacentral:lncRNA from 1 species
CUCAGAUCUCUUCUUAGCUUCUGCCAGCUUUUCUCAGCUCCUCAGCACCUCUGAGAGCUUUGCAAAUCAUCCCUUCACAGCAUCAUCAUAAAAUAUCUCACCGGAGCCAGUUUGAGGGGGAGGCAGCUUUUGCAGCUCCCAAGAGGGCAGAUGCCACUCCCUGCCACCAGGUCUCCAUGGCCCCUCCCACACUUGGAGAGUGAGGGCUCCGGGGAGGGUGGCUCUACUUCACUGCAGAGAAAAUGCAGUCGGUGAGAGAAAGAGAUACACUGAGGCUCCAGAGAGUGUAAAACAAGCAUCUCGUCACAAAACAGAGAGGAAACUAAGUCUGGGAUUUAUUGCUGAGUCCCUUCUUCUGAUAAAGAAGCCAGAGGAGCAUCAACAUUUUCCUUGGAGUCGGGAGUCCUUGGCACCCUCUCUCUGCAGACCAGGCCAUGGUGCAUGACCAAAGUUAAGCAGCUCUCCUCACCUGUCUCCAAAACAAGUCUGCUUACAGAUGUGGGCCACAUCUUGACCUCUUAACAUCAACCACAGAGCAAGACCUGUACCCUAGAGAUGCUCAGAAAUGUUUGGCUUCUGUCACCAUCACUCCACUGAAAGUGCUUUUGCCAGGAUCCCAAUUUGAAAAGUGAAAUUUCCUAAUUAAAGGAAGUGGUUGACCCUGCAGCGUGCAUAUAGAUGUGAUCCAUCGUCGUUCAGAAGCCCUGAAAGAAUAAAAUGACAGCUAUCACUCCAAGCUCUAAUUUGAAUGACAGAAGUCUACAAGAAGGACCCACACCUCCUGUGGCCGGAAGACAAACUGUAAUGAAUAAUCAGACACAAUAUUUGGUUAUACGGUGCUAGAGAUAUAAACCACCUACACUAAAGUGUAGGUCUGAUAUAGAAGAGGUAGGACAUUGAGACCUGGAAUGGGGAACUUUGGGUAGAUACACUUGAGAACCUUAAAUCUCCCAAAUUUACUUGAAUUUGCAUAAAAGCCUACUUCUUUCUUGUCAGAGGAGAAGUAACCUCUCAUUACCUGGAGACCAUGGACAUGCUUCUCCUUACAAAUGUCUUACAAUAUGAUACUAGACCAAUGAACAGGCUCAAGUUUCUUCAUGUCAUAGUGAGAAGUACUGACCCUUUUCUGGGAAGAAAGAUGUUACUCACCAGGAACCAGAAGGUUCCUGCUGUUCCAUAUUUUCCAGAACCUACAACUUUUUUGGUGAAUAAUACCUUUCCUUCCAAAGAAGGUCAAUGUUCCUGCUGGGGAUACAUAUUGAGGGUAUAGACUGAGAUCCAUAGAUCUGAGGGGUUGGGGGGUCUCCUGGAGGUAAGAUCCUGCAACAUAACAGAAGG